rnacentral:lncRNA from 1 species
UGUUUCGAGUUUGGGUGGUCUAUUGCCUAAAGUUCCGUUUUUUGAUGCCAGUUGUGACUUCUUGAUGAGGAAACAACCAUUGGGGCAAAUGCAGCAACAAGUCAAUUUGCUGCCUGCUCAACAGUUUCAGCCGAAGCCAUUAAUUGUACCUAAGCUUGAGGCAGCUGGUGGUGGUGGUAAUGGUAAUUUGAUGGUGCCUCGUCAUCAACUGCAGGAACAACAAUUUAUUUAUGACCAGAUUUUUCAGGCCUCAGAACUAUUGCUGGCCGGACAAUUCUCAAACGCGCAAUUGAUAUUGGCGCGGCUCAAUCAACAGCUUUCUCCCAUUGGGAAACCCUCAAGGAGGGCUGCUUUUUAUAUCAAGGAGGCUCUGCAGUUGCCUUUCCUUGUGCCUUGCACAUCCACUUUUUUGCCUCCAAGAAGUCCCACCCCAUUUGAUUGUGUGCUUAAGAUGGAUGCUUAUAAGUCCUUCUCCGAAAUAUCUCCACUUAUCCAGUUCAUGAAUUUCACCUCCAAUCAGGCUAUUCUUGAAGCUCUUGGGGAUGCUGAGCAAAUUCACAUAAUAGAUUUUGACAUCGGUUUUGGUGCUCAAUGGUCCUCGUUUAUGCAAGAACAAGUCAAUUUGCUGCCUGCUCAACAGUUUCAGCCGAAGCCAUUAAUUGUACCUAAGCUUGAGGCAGCUGGUGGUGGUGGUAAUGGUAAUUUGAUGGUGCCUCGUCAUCAACUGCAGGAACAACAAUUUAUUUAUGACCAGAUUUUUCAGGCCUCAGAACUAUUGCUGGCCGGACAAUUCUCAAACGCGCAAUUGAUAUUGG